CUACGGGAUGCACCAGUCGAGAAUCUUCGGCAAUGGACGAAAGUCUGACCGAGCGACGCCGCGUGUACGAUGAAGGCCUUCGGGUUGUAAAGUACUGUCGGUUGGGAGGAAAUAUUUGGGGGUCAUCCCCCUUAUUUGACCCAUCUUCAGAGGAAGUGCGGGCUAAGUUCGUGCCAGCAGCCGCGGUAAUACGAACCGCACGAACGUUAUUCGGAAUCACUGGGCUUAAAGGGUGCGUAGGCGGUCUAGUAAGUUGGGUGUGAAAUCCCUCGGCUCAACCGAGGAAUUGCGCUCAAUACUGCUAGACUUGAGGGAGAUAGAGGUAAGCGGAACUCAGGGUGGAGCGGUGAAAUGUGUUGAUAUCCUGGGGAACACCAGUUGCGAAAGCGGCUUACUGGGUCUCUUCUGACGCUGAGGCACGAAAGCUAGGGGAGCGAACGGGAUUAGAUACCCCUGUAGUC
rnacentral:rRNA from 1 species